GGUUAAUUGGUUAAUUCAAAUUGCCCAUAGGUGUGAAUGUGCGAGUGAAUGUGAGCGCGAAUGGUUGUCUGUCUCUGUGUGUUGGCCCUGCGACAGAUUGGCGACCUGUCCAGGGUGUACCCCACCUCUCGCCCUAUGACAGCUGGGAUAGGCUCCGGCGCCCCCCGCGACGCUGAAAAGGAAAAGCAGACGCGAAUGGAUGGAUGGAUGAUAAAAAAUUAGGAAAAACAAUGGGAAGAAAAAUAGAAACCCUAAUGAUGAUUUUGAUGAUUCUGAAGUAUGUAGCUAGCUGUUGACAAUUAUGAACAAUAUGAUUAUAUGAUGUUACUAUCACUGAAUGGAUUUGUUCAGUGAUCUUGUUCGCUUAAGAUCAUUUUCCAGAUAAAAUUAUGUCGAAUUUAUGUAAUUACAAUUAGUUACAUGAGUCAGGCAUGUAGGAUGGAUUUGGGUAGAAUUAAUAAAAUAAACAUACAUUAAAAAGCCUGACCUUUAGCUUUGCCGUUUAACUGAAUGACGGUCAGUUCCUCUAGCCUCUUUUGCUUAUCAAAUAAUUUUUUAACCACUGAUCGAUUGUUGUACAAACAAUCGCAUUGCUGGAACUUUAUUCAUGGAAAUAUGUCCUCAAACUGCUGAUUCCUCCUUGCUGCCUUUUUUGUUUUUCUUUCUUUCGUUCUCUCUUACCCUCACUAUUAUUAUUAUUUUACUUUUUAUUUUUCUACUUAUUAUUAUUUUUCUAUUACCAUUUUUAUUUUUUUAUUCUAUUCUUUAUUUAUUAUACUUUUGCCAUUUAGUUUUUAUCUUAAAUCAUUUGUAUUUUUUCCUAUGAUAAUGUCACGGUUCUGGGUCCGUUGGACCCAGUAUUUUGAGUUUAUUGUGUUUUGAUUUAUGUUUGCAUCAGGGAUUGUGUUCUUGUUCUCUUGUCGUGUUAUGGUAAUGUUUAUGUCUAUUUAGAGUUCCAUGUUUCUGUUUAUCUGGGUCUAAGAUGUGGGUUUAGUUUCAUAUGUCAUUUCAAGUCUGUCUCUGUCUAGUCUGUCUUAGUAAAGUGUGUUUUGUUUCCUGUUUUAUUGUGAAGGUCUGCGUCUCAUGUGAGUGUGUUCAUUUUUACCUUUGUCUCGUCUUGUUGAUUAUUCCCAGCUGUGUCCACCACCUGUGUGUAAUUCCCCUGUGGUUCUCUGUGUAUUUAAGUCAUGUCUUCCGUCAUUGUUGUUGCUGGUCCGUCUGUGUUUCCACCCUGCGUCAUCUGUGUGUUUCCCUGCCGUCACCAUCUUGUACCGUCGUCCACCUUGCUUCAUGUUUGAGUUCCGGUUUGUAUUCAGUAGUUUAGUUGUCUCCAGUCUAGUUUAGUUCGUGCUCCAUUUGCUGUUUGUCUAUAUUUAUUUCGUGUCCAAUAAACCACCUUCACUCCUCCACUACUGCCUGCAAUUGGAUCCUCAUUUAUUAUUUUUAUACGGCUCAUCUCACUCGCCGUGACAG
ensembl:lncRNA